CAGUAGCCGCGGUAAGACAGAGGAUGCAAGCGUUAUCCGGAAUGAUUGGGCGUAAAGCGUCUGUAGGUGGCUUUUCAAGUCCGCCGUCAAAUACCAGGGCUCAACCCUGGACAGGCGGUGGAAACUACCAAGCUGGAGUACGGUAGGGGCAGAGGGAAUUUCCGGUGGAGCGGUGAAAUGCGUAGAUAUAUGGAGGAACACCGGUGGCGAAAGCGGCUCUCUGGCUUGUAACUGACGCUGAGGCUCGAAAGCGUGGGGAGCAAACAGGAUUAGAUACCCCUGUAGUCCCUGUCUCUUAUAC
rnacentral:rRNA from 1 species